rnacentral:misc_RNA from 1 species
GAAACGCGAUAGUUAAUGUGAAUUGCAGAAUUUAGUGAAUCAUCGAAUCUUUGAACGCACAUUGCGCCCCCUGGCAUUCCGGGGGGCAUGCCUGUUCGAGCGUCAUUACACCACUCAAGCCUGGCUUGGUAUUGAGCGCCGCGGCCUGCCCGCGCGCUCCAAUGUCUCCGGCUGAGCCGUCCGUCUCUAAGCGUUGUGAAUAGCGAUCGCUUGCGAGGCCCGGGCGGUUCGACGCCGUUAAACCCCCCAUUUUCUAUGGUUGACCUCGGAUCAGGUAGGGAUACCCGCUGAACUUAAGC